rnacentral:rRNA from 1 species
GACGUAGGUGGCGACCGUUAUCCGGAAUUAUUGGGCGUAAAGGGUGCGUAGAUGGCGUAAUAAGUUAGCAGUGGGAAAUCGAGGCUCAACCUCGUGGAAGCUGGUAAUACUAUUAUGCUUGAGUUCAGGAGAGGUUAACGGAAUUCUCAUAUGAAGCGGUAAAAUGCAUAGAUAUAUGGAAGAACAUCGAUACGGCGAAGGCAGUUAACUAUUCUGCUACUGACAUUGAGGCACGAAAGCGUGGGGAGCAAAACGG